rnacentral:tmRNA from 1 species
GGGGGUGAGCAGGCUCGACGCGAGCCGGGCUGGCAGGGGCAGCGAGCCGAGCACCGCGUCUCGGAAAACCGCGGAAGCACCAUCAGGUGCCAACGAAGAGUACGCUCUGGCUGCCUAACUAGCACGCCACGUCGACGGCGGACCUGCCUGCGGUCGCCGCUCGACGUCACUCGGCAGGCUGGUCGCCCUACCCCCUCCCCGCGGGGAGGGUGACGAGAUCCAGGCGGGGUGGCUGCCGCCGGGCCCGCCCUCGGGCGCGGCGACGGCGAGAUCCGUACGAGGGCUACGCUCGUAGAAUCCCUGUGGGCUCGUUCGCGGACCGGGGGGGCAGCUCCCCCGCACCUCCACCA